GACGAACGCUGGCGGCGUGCCUAACACAUGCAAGUCGAACGGAGUGUUUAUUUAUAAACACUUAGUGGCGAACGGGUGAGUAACGCGUAGACAACCUACCCUCUAGAUGGGGACAACUCCGCGAAAGUGGUGCUAAUACCGAAUGUUGUAAUGUUGUUGCAUAAUGAUAUUACUAAAGGUGGCCUCUAUAUAAAAGCUACCGCUAGAAGAUGGGUCUGCGUCUGAUUAGCUAGUUGGUGAGAUAACAGCCCACCAAGGCAAUGAUUAGUAGCCGGUCUGAGAGGAUGAACGGCCACACUGGGACUGAGACACGGCCCAGACUCCUACGGGAGGCAGCAGUGGGGAAUCUUCCGCAAUGGACGAAAGUCUGACGGAGCAACGCCGCGUGAGUGAAGAAGGUUUUCGGAUCGUAAAGCUCUGUCUUCAAGGACGAAUGUAGAUAUUGUGAAUAAUGAUAUUUAAUGACGGUACUUGAGGAGGAAGCCACGGCUAACUACGUGCCAGCCGCCGCAGUAA
rnacentral:rRNA from 1 species